CUUUAUAAUCUCGCACAUUUGAGUUGUUGGUACGUAUCUCGCCACCAGUGUACUGAAACGUAUCUUCCUUCAGACAGGGAUUGAGAAACGGAAAUACCACCACCCUCCAGCCAAACUCUUGUGAGGACUGAUUGCAGGGGAAUUGUGCUCCAGAUGUUUCACUAGAGGCGCUGCAAGUGUGAGCAGGGGCCUCUCGUGUGCAUUGCUGGAAUGAGACACCAAAAUGGAGAGGACCUUUAGGAAUUCACAGCCUGGUGGAAGACUCUCAGUCUUGGUGAGGUGGACUGUCCUAAAGAGUUCUUAGGACAACAUACCCGAAUGAACCAUUGAAACUGAAGAGCAGGAUUAAGGUGUUUAAGAUAUUGUUCACCAGAGAACUUUGGAAAGAGAAUUGACUAGAUCAGCAAGUUCAUUGCCCCUGUGGAAAAUAACUUGAAGCUUAUGUCUACCGAUGGAAAAGUCUCAUCAGCUGGAGAGCAUUGCUCUUUUCUUUGAACUGCGCUCUGGUUUCUCUGAAAUCAGAUUUUGUAUUCCCAGGGCUCCACUCUGCAAUGCCAGCACAAACAUACAUCAGCAGCUGCACAACACUCUAAAGACGAAAAUGCUGGUCAGAUCUUAGGAUUGCACCUCUCCAUUACUCGAAGAGCUCCCUGAGUGAAUUUCAAUUUUUGAUGAGUACAUGAGAGGACAAAAAUCAAGCAUCAGAGAGAGACUAAAAUAGAAGAGAAUGAAAUACUGGAAUGAAGAGCCAUGUAUAUCCAAAGCCUGUGGAGAUUGUGGUUUAAGUUCCAUGGGACACACCCUACUGCUGGGCUUGUGUGAAGUCAUGAUGAGACACCGUAAGCAACAGCAAGACUCAUGUCAGAUGGUGCUCCAGUAAUGCUAGGAGGAAAGAAGCAGCUGAUGUAUGGGAUAUUGAAGGCAGAUUAAGUUGUUAAUGUAUAUUAGUAUAUUCUUAAUUUCCUUUUAAUUGAAAAAGACAUAUUGACUUUAAUUAGAACCAUUUCACAGGAACUGUCAAUUAGCACAUGUCAAACUAGUUAAUUCAGAACAGAAUUCUUUUAAUUAGGGUCUGCUUGCUUUAACUAUGGGGCCAAUGAAAUAAGCCUUUACUUAUCUAGAUUUUAAAUGUCUCUAAGACAUACAAUACAAAUGUAGACUCUUAUCUAUUAUUAGAAGCCCAUAUGGAUAACAUUAAAAUGAUGAUGCUGGCAUUGUUCAUGCAGCACAAAUCAGAGUCCCUUUAUGACUGUUUGGGAAAAAAAAAUGGCUUUGAACAAAGCCUAUUUUAAAUACUAGAUUUAUCCUACUUUAAGGAGACUACUAAAUUUAUGACAUGCAUGUUCACAUUUAAAGUAUUAUUUAAUACGUCUGCUCAAAUAAAUGGGCUAUUCAAACCUUUUGUGUGUUCUGUCAGCUGAAGACACAUAAAACAUUGUCAAACCACACAGCUACAUUUUUUCCUUAAGUGAACUGUAAUCAAAAAGGGAAAACAGACUGAAUUUUUUUUACAACGUAGAACAGCACUGUUAACUUUCACUGCAUCCAAAGAUUUAACACCAAUAGUCGAUACAGUGACUAAACCACUAACAGUGUGCUAAAGCGAUUCGCAGGAUUCAGAUGUAGGAAAUCUGAAGCUUGCCUCUGCUCGGUGCAGUGAUGUGGCAUUACCGCGUUUAGUUACAGUGGCAUUAGGUAUGGGUUACUCUGCAGUUCACACAUACAGUGAGCUGGAUGAGGGCGGACUGUGCGACAUUCACCUAAAAUAUAGGUGUGUUCAAGAUUAAAUGAAGAAAAUUAAGUAAUGCUGAAAAGAGAAUGAGUGUAGUAAAAUCUAGCUGACUUUAGCCCAGGAGAUUUUGUCACUGUUUUAUUGACAAU